CGCGUAGGUGGUUUGAUAAGGGUGUGGUGAAAGCCCGGAGCUCAACUCCGGGUCUGCCGUGCCGACUGUCAAACUCGAGGGCUGUAGAGGCAGACGGAAUUCCGGGUGUAGCGGUGGAAUGCGUAGAGAUCCGGAGGAAGACCGGUGGCGAAGGCGGUCUGCUGGGCAGUUUCUGACACUGAUGCGCGACAGCGUGGGGAGCAAACA
rnacentral:rRNA from 1 species